AAAAAAGAAAAUACAAAAGAACUAAGGUUGAUAAAUAGAACAACUAUAUAGAUACGAAGUUACUAUACACAUCUAUUCAUUAGUAUUUAUGAACAGAAAGUCAGAAAAGAUGCUCUAAUCAAGAGAAGAAAACGUCAAUGUUACAGUGAAAAGGGCUAGGACUUGGAUGAGUCUGUUCAGAGAAGAAGAACAGCCAAGUUUUAUAUGUAUGUACUUAAAGGGCAACCAAAUAAGAUUUAAAGUAUCCAGUGAAGGUCUUACAAAGAUAGAUGAUAUUUCACUGUUAUAAAGUAAAGGGACAAAAGCUCAGAGCAGCUAUAUUAUAAUGUACCAUCAGUGCUCUUUCAACAGCUGCAUAUCAAUAAACAGAUAAACAUAUGAACAAUUUAUUCAUGAUAAGGGAUAUGCCCUUGAAAUAACAUUUUAUAAUAUUUUGUGAUAACUUAUUGAAAAUGUGAGACUUGAUUUGUCAGAAUUUUGAUAUAAAUCAAGAGUUUAAAAUGAUCUUGGUCUUGAACAUUAAAAAAAAAAAUUGAUUUGAAAAAAGUUGAAAUGUUAAGCAAAGAACAAUAACAAUUUGCUAAGGAGAGAAAAUUAUGGAUAAAAUAAGAGAUAUACAACAAUGCAAUAAUUUCCAAAACUGAUGGAGAACUGCAAAUUGAGUUAUUAGAUAUAGGAAGAUGUGGUGUGAGUGCCAAUGAGACAACUCUCCAUCCAAACAACAAUUAAAAAAUUAAACCAUUAUAGGUUAAAAUAUAGUCCUUUAUGCAACAUUUUUAGCUGUAUUAAUUUGCUUCCAAUCAUGUAUUGCUGUUAUGAAAUAUUUCUGAAGUAAAACUAGUGAAAAUGUUAUCAAAUAUAUAAACUCUGUAUUAUGAAUGAGAUUUUCAGUAAAACUGAAUAGAUUUUAAAUUUAGGAAGCUUGUAAAACAAUGGAAGAUUUUGUUAAAAAAU